AUUGAACGCUGGCGGCAUGCUUUACACAUGCAAGUCGAACGGUAACAGGCCGCAAGGUGCUGACGAGUGGCGAACGGGUGAGUAAUGCAUCGGAACGUGCCCAGUCGUGGGGGAUAACGCAGCGAAAGCUGCGCUAAUACCGCAUACGAUCUAUGGAUGAAAGCGGGGGACCGAAAGGCCUCGCGCGAUUGGAGCGGCCGAUGUCAGAUUAGGUAGUUGGGGGGGUAAAGGCUCACCAAGCCAACGAUCUGUAGCUGUUCUGAGAGGACGACCAGCGACACUGGGACUGAGACACGGCACAGACUCCUACGGGAGGCAGCAGUGGGGAAUUUUGGACAAUGGGCGCAAGCCUGAUCCAGCAAUGCCGCGUGCAGGAAGAAGGCCUUCGGGUUGUAAACUGCUUUUGUACGGAACGAAAAGGCUCUGGUUAAUACCUGGGGCUCAUGACGGUACCGUAAGAAUAAGCACCGGCUAACUACGUGCCAGCCGCCGCAGUAAGAC
rnacentral:rRNA from 1 species